GGGCUCAGUCAUUUGGAUGUUAAUCCAACUGGGCCAGUGCACCUAAAUAAUAAAAAUCCUCCUCAACCCCUUGGUGUUCCUGAUUCCUUAUCAAUCCUGCUACAGGUGGAGAAAAAAGAAAGACCAGCAGAAAAGAAAAAAACUAGGAGAGGAAGUCAGAGGGAAAGAAAGCAAAAACAGCAAGCAUAGAGCCAAACAGCCAGGCAGGCACGCCAAGGGGCUGGCAACCUUGUAGUAAAUGGGACCACAUCCCUUAAACUACCCAGGAGCAAAGCUGGACUUCCACGAAAAAGUCUCAGUUGGCAGUGUUACCGCUGGUGUAAUCUCUUCUCUGUUCCUGGCUUUUAUUGAGAUGGUUGAUCAUCUUUACACAGUCCUUUGCAUGCAGAUACAGAAUCUUGCUCCGCUGCCAAGGCUGGAGUGCACUGGUUCAAUCUCGGCUCACUGCAAACUCUGCCUCCCAAGUUCAAGUGAUUCUCCUGUGUCAGUUUCUUUAGGAAUACAGCACUCCAUAUUGUUACCAUAAUAAUGAAACGGAUUCCCAUGGCUACAGCGAUGAAGCAGCAGAAAAAAAAUGGAGAUGCUGUCAAAGAAAAAAGACACAGAUCAGAGAAAGAAGCAUAAAAGGUUUGGGUAUCUUUGUAUUUAAUAUAAAUAUUAGAGUUUUUUAAAUGAGAA
ensembl:lncRNA KLRK1-AS1 KLRK1 antisense RNA 1